rnacentral:rRNA from 1 species
ACGCUGGCGGCGUGCCUAAUACAUGCAAGUAGAACGCACAGGAUGCACCGUAGUUUACUACACCGUAUUCUGUGAGUUGCGAACGGGUGAGUAACGCGUAGGUAACCUGCCUGGUAGCGGGGGAUAACUAUUGGAAACGAUAGCUAAUACCGCAUAAGAACAUUUACUGCAUGGUAGAUGUUUAAAAGGUGCAAGAGCAUCACUACCAGAUGGACCUGCGUUGUAUUAGCUAGUUGGUGAGGUAACGGCUCACCAAGGCAACGAUACAUAGCCGACCUGAGAGGGUGAUCGGCCACACUGGGACUGAGACACGGCCCAGACUCCUACGGGAGGCAGCAGUAGGGAAUCUUCGGCAAUGGGGGGAACCCUGACCGAGCAACGCCGCGUGAGUGAAGAAGGUUUUCGGAUCGUAAAGCUCUGUUGUUAAGGAAGAACGUGUGUGAGAGUGGAAAGUUCACACAGUGACGGUACUUAACCAGAAAGGGACGGCUAACUACGUGCCAGCAGCCGCGGUAAUACGUAGGUCCCGAGCGUUGUCCGGAUUUAUUGGGCGUAAAGCGAGCGCAGGCGGUUAGAUAAGUCUGAAGUGAAAGGCAGUGGCUCAACCAUUGUAGGCUUUGGAAACUGUUUAACUUGAGUGCAGAAGGGGAGAGUGGAAUUCCAUGUGUAGCGGUGAAAUGCGUAGAUAUAUGGAGGAACACCGGUGGCGAAAGCGGCUCUCUGGUCUGUAACUGACGCUGAGGCUCGAAAGCGUGGGGAGCGAACAGGAUUAGAUACCCUGGUAGUCCACGCCGUAAACGAUGAGUGCUAGGUGUUAGGUCCUUUCCGGGACUUAGUGCCGCAGCUAACGCAUUAAGCACUCCGCCUGGGGAGUACGACCGCAAGGUUGAAACUCAAAGGAAUUGACGGG